UUUUUUUGUGUUUGGGGUCUCGGUCUCGGUCUAGGUCGCCUUUGGGUUGGGUUUGGUUCGAGGCCGCGCCGGUACCUAGGGGACCGGCACGAGGCCCUGAUGCGGCGGGCGCCGCUGGACCUGUUCUAGUAGAAGUUGCCGCUGCUGCACGAGAAGCCGCUGCUGAUGUGGAAGGGCCGGUUGCAGGGGUGGCGGAAGUGGAGGUUCGUCAGCCCGGCGGGGAUGGGCGAGAGGCGGCGGCAGAAGGAGCGCGUCGUGUUGCUGGAGUUCGUGUGGCUGAAGGAGGUCCGGCGGGCGGAGGCGGCCUAGGGCGGGCAAAGGGAGGGCCUGGCGUUCUGGAAGGAGCUGAAGGAGGUGAAGCCCCUGUCGAGGGAGGGGAGGCGGCUCGGGGAGGAGGGGAGGAGGAAGCGCGUCCUGCGGGUGGGCGGGGGCGGCGGCGGCGGGGGCCUCCUCCUCCCCCUCCUGGGGCUGCGGCUGCUCCGGAGGUGGCGGGUGCAGGCGCGGGAGCUCGCCGGGGAGUUCCUGGCGUUGCGGCAGGAGCUGCGGGCGCCGGCGCUGAAGGAGCGGUAGAUGGUGCGGCGCGACGCGGCGCUCCUCCUGGCGGACGCCUUGUUCCUGCGGCACGGGAGGCGGUGCCCGGCCGUGCUCGGUAGGCGGUGUCGGCGGCGGCGGGAGCGCUUGGGGUUCGAACUGUUCAGCGAGCCGCUGCCGAAGCACGGGUAGUAUGACCACGGAUCGCGCAGUGUCUGCGACUAUUGUUAGAUGUUGCACUUCCUGAAGGACCUCCUGAAGCACAAGCACGGGUCGCUGCUCUUCUACGCCCGGUACUUCCCCUCGGGGUUCGGGCUCACGCAGUGGGACGUCUUCUUCGUGCAGGCGCCCCGACCGCCAGGCCACCGUAAGCUCCAGUCCCUGUUCGGCCGGAGCGAGUUCCGGCUGCUGACCCGCGCCCAGCACCGGCACAAACACGAGCCUUUCCUCACCGUCAAGUUCCUGACCGGGAAGUUCCCAGUACAGCUGUAGAAGUUGUUUCAAUAACCCAAGAAACAUGCGAAACUUCUACUAUCACACCUAAGUCGUUUUCACCAGUUCGUCACCUUACAGUUUUAGUAUAGAUAUUCGUUCUUAUUUUCCGUAGUCCUGUCUGGUCGACGAGAACUCCACACCCUAGCCGACCUACUUAAACACGCCCGUGCGAGUAUCAGCGACAACACUGGCUUUAUGAGUUUAUGGUACAACCCACUACCUUCACCUGAAUACGACCAACUCUACAGCUGCUCGUCUUGUUCGUGGGGAUCUAGGGUCGGAGCAUAAAGUCCACGGCCAGCUGCCACCUUGCUCUACGGUCCUUGGAUGGAAGGAAGACGUAAGUACUCCUAAACGUAGAAUACACUUAAAGCCAACGAUUCGAUACUACAUCAGAUAGGUUAGACUGUAUAAUUGACAUCUGACCACUGUACCACGAUCCGAUGAAGUGGGCGCCGUAACAACCUCUAUUCACAGCAGUAGGAACACACCUAUAACCCCUUAAUACCGUCCAUCCCCAAUAGGUGGUUUCCUUGUAACAGACUAAGGUAACAACAUUGGGUAGUCCUAGACUUUGGGAUCUUGUAAAACGAAACGAAGCUUGUGUACUUCACAUUGUAAAAGUGACGUUGUACCACAUUGUGCCCGCGCCGGACUUAGAUGUGGCGGAGGAGCAUACCAUGUACCUAUGUAAGCG
rnacentral:rRNA from 1 species